GCAUCAAGGUUGCCAGGGAUUUCUUCCAAUGUCAUGUGAUUCCGUUCGUGACGUCACGGAUGAACAGUUGAACAGAGUAUACGAUGAUAACCCUGUUACCCUCCAUCCCUACUCCGCUCAACUGCUCAUCCGUGACGUCACGGAUGAAGACAAGUGACAUUUGAGGGAAUACCCUGACAAUCCUGCAUAGUAUCCUGGAUAGCAAGCACACAGAGAAGUGUUUUAAACUUUGUAUCUUAUAAUGUUCGCAAGCAAUAAGACUGAAAUCAACGAUAAAAAAUAUUGGUUUCUCGAAAUUUUAACAGUGCUAUAUCCCUUUAAAAAAUGGCGUCAUUACAUUCCUUUCGCUAGUGAUAGGCGCGCGUAAGUGGUUUUAGUAUUAAGUUACUCACCCGAGUAAACAGAGAACGAUGCAACAAAUGUGGGCAGUCGGCUGGUGAUCCGAUAUCGUGGUGGUUUUGAUGCUGGAGUAGCAGUUGGGACAAGACAGUUUUGUGGGGUUCGGGCCCAGCGCGUACGUCACCACCGGCUGAGGAAUAAAUCUAACUUCCGUCGAUGAUGGAACAUUUGGAUUCGGAUUGAACUGUGUCUGCGAUUGACUCGGUGGCUCGCUAGCAGCGGGAUAAUUUGUCGGAUAUGACGGUGCCGGUUGAUUUGUCGGUUGGUUAUCUGAAAUCGUUUACCAUCGGUUAGCUUUAUGAACCAACCACAUACUAGCGGAAGCGAGGUAUUGCAGGGCUGGUUUCAAUCUGACUGCGUAAACGUGAGGGUUACCAACCCAUAUGGCCCUAUUUAACCACCAAAUUUUUCCAAAUCCUACCAUGUUAUGAAACAGAGUACGGCAGCAGUGAGCUGAUUAAUAAGGACGUAUGUGUUUGAACGUCUCGCUUUCUCGACUUGCGCGACGCUACGAAGAAAAAACUGUAUUUAAAAAAAAACAGCACCUAUGGUAACUGUUACCAGAACAAUUUCAAGUGUUCAACUAUGGCAGAGUUAUCCUACUGCUUCUUAUUAUUCUGUUUCUGCUAUGGUAAAAUCGCAAACGAUCUCGUCAUUAUGAAGAUCGUGCCGCAAAACGUAGAUGGCACUGAAUUGGAGCACGCUGUAAUCAAAUAGUUAAUACGAGUUCUACGUACAAAAUGGUGCUGGCAUAGCUGAUGGUGGUGAUACUGGGUAUGGAGGAUUGGCCAUAUUUCCAACAGCUUCUUCAUAAGAAGGGGGUGCCAUUGGCGGAGCUACUGUUGGUGGCGGUGCUGAUGGUUCAGCACUCCCACUUGCAAACCCUACAUUCUUCUCCAUCUUGUCCUAAAAACAUUUUCAUACAUCCAGACUUCGUUAAAUAUUUCUUGAGCACUUUUUUAAUGAAAAAAUUUUAAUAAUUUCUAUUAAUUCUCUGGUUCUUAAACUAGUUCUCUUCGCUUAUUCGCGAUCAUUGGAACGUGUACAACAAUAUCCUUCGAAAAAGGAAUAAAAGAAAAUGUCAUAAAAGAUUUUGGCAUCGGUCGGUUGCGUAACUGGCUCCUAGAAGUUUUAUCUCGGGACAACUUCGUGCCGCAGCUCUACUGCCAGAUAGCAAGUGCCAAUAAACGAGAUUAUUUUCUACAAACAAGACAACGCAGUUACCCUAUAUUGCGAGUUACCAAGGGUGGACGUAAUUGUUGUUUAUUGAGGAUCAGACCGCUUGUCCCGUUGCACCCUGUAGUUGGUUCGAUCAUUAUCGCGCAUUAUUUCAGUCUGGCCUUGAUUCGCAACGUAAUUGGGUCGUAUAGAAGACCGCGAAAGAACACGUUCGCGUUCGAACGCCGUACUGUGCGCCGCUAUGAGGACAGACGAGCGCGAAAGUGCUCGCGAACGAAUAGAAAGUUGAGAGGAUGUGUUGAGUAACCGAGGUAACGCAAUAUAUAAUACACGUAUACAUAUGUAUGAAUCGCGUGAGCCUUCGUGGACUUGCAUCCAGGAAGUCUCCGCCUUUGAACUAAUCUCGUCCACCUUUUUCCUCGAACAGAUCUUUAUUCAUCUAGCAAUGUUGUGAUUGCGAACUGCAUUACAUUUGCAAAGUAAACAUUGAUCUACGUACUGUAAAAAUUCUACUAAACAUUUCUAAACAUCAAAGAGCUACUGUAUCAGAAUAUGCCUAAAUUAUAUUACUGAUUUAUUGAUUUGCAUAUAUCUUAGAAUUUUGACUUUGAAACUGCUAUAAUAUUACGAUUGCUAAUAAUGUUAAUCUCUCUGCAAAAUUACUAAAAAAAAAAUGGAAAACGAAUUUGUACUGUAUUAUGUAGUUACACAUUUUUUGAAAUGUAAUAAAUUAUAUCGUUGUCAAUAAUGGAAAAUUCUGAAUGGAUACGAAUUAAACUUCCAAUUUGUGAUAAGAACUCAUGAUAGCAUAAUACACUCUUCCUAAAGGAUUAACAGAUAAUUAAAAAGAUAACCUAAAUGUAAAGUUCUUAAUAUUUCAAAUUUCCAAUCGUUGGAACAUUUGAAUUUUUAUUUUACGAGAGAAAACCAUCAACUGCGAAGCAAUUGAGCUCCCGAAUUUGAAGUUGUACUUCAGCUACGCUAUAGUCAACUGAAAACGUAUACAUACAGUGGGACUCGUAACCGGGAAAAAUAACCGGACUUAUAAGGACCAAGAGAGCCCGGAUAAAUCGAGACCUAACAAAAAACAGCUGAAAAUGUAAUAUAAUGUAAUGUAAUGUAACUUACAUCAAACGACGACUGAAAAUUGUGAUACACCGUUUGCUCGUACUUAUCGUUGAAAUAUAUCAUGUAUUUACAAAUAGAA